UACAGAGACCGCAAGCGUUAUUCGGAUUCACUGGGCGUAAAGGGUGCGCAGGCGGCCAAGUGUGUGAGGCGUGAAAGCCCGGGGCUUAACCCCGGAAUUGCACCUCAAACUACAUGGCUAGAGCAUUGGAGAGGGUAGCAGAAUUCACGGUGUAGCAGUGAAAUGCGUAGAUAUCGUGAGGAAUACCAGAGGCGAAGGCGGCUACCUGGACAAUUGCUGACGCUCAGGCACGAAAGCGUGGGGAGCAAAAGGG
rnacentral:rRNA from 1 species